rnacentral:lncRNA from 1 species
UUCCCCCAAGAAGCGGAUGUCAGAAAUGUUAGGAAGCUCAGACAACCCCAAUCUCCGCCCUUCUCAUCUCCCAACCUAGAGCUGUGUAAUCUGAGGCUAGGAGGGGAGAUGGGUUGCCUGAGGCAGUGUCAAAUCUGGAGUGAGGAAUUGAAGACCAACUUCAGUGUGGCUACUGGCUAUUUAGAAAGGACCACCAGUGCGAAUAUGAGUGUGAAGUCGCUUCAGUUGUGUCCGACACUUUGCAACCCCACGGACUGCAGCCUGCCAGGCUCCUCUGUCCAUGGGAUUCUCCAGGCAAGAAUACUGGAGUGGGUUGCCAUUUCCUUCUCCAGGGGAAUCUUUCCAACCCAGGGAUGGAUCCGCGUCUCCUCCAUUGGCAGGUUCUUUACCACUAGAGCCACUGGGGAAGCCCACUAGACCACCAAGGAAGUCCCAGAUCCCACAUCUGAGUUGAGCUCAGGGCAUACGUAGGACCAGCCCAGCCUCAGACUCUGGUCCUGUCUCUGCCCUGCUCCCGAAAGUACGACCCAGGCAGCCUACUGAGCUUCCAUCCCUUCUUCCUCAUCCCUUAUUUUGGGUUUCCAACGGAGACUGCAGCCCCAAUUCUUCAUCUCCUAUGGACCUCAUACCCCAGCUGUGUCCUAGAGGACGGUAUGAGCCCCUAGACCUAUAUUCCAGUUGGAGCACUGACUGCACCCAGGCGCUGACCCCUGCCUGACCCCGGCCAUGGCCCUGGACUCUGGGUCUUCCUGAGCUCCGGAAGCUCUCUCUGUUUUGCAACCUGGCUGGCUUCCUUGAGUGGCCCUGGCCCCCAGGCUCACCUCCAUCGCCGUCCGUCUCCUCCUGAGGCCCCACGGAGCCUCCCUGGGCAGCACUUCAAGCUGUGGAGGCCCGCUCCCCACCCCCGCCCCUGCCCCGGCCUGUGUCUUGAACUCGUCUGCUCUCCGGUGCCUGUGGUCACUCAGAUGGCCCUCCAGGACUACUGGGUGCACCCGGGCAGGUCUCUUCACUUUUUUAAAAAUAAUAAUUUUAUUUAUUUAUGAUUUGGCUGCACUGGGUCUUAGUUGUGGCACAUGGGAUCUAGUUCCCUGACCAGGGAUUGAACCCCCUUCACUGGGAGCUUGGAGUUUUAGCCACUGGACCACCAGGGAAGUCCCAGGUCUCUUCACUUCUUUGAGGCUUUGCUGCCCAGUUGCCAAGCAGGAGUAACAGCACCUCUUCUCAGGGCUGGCCUGAGGAUUACCUUGUCAAAGGCUUGGCACCAGCUCUGCCACUCAUCAAGGGCACCGGUGGAGGAGCUGGCAGCCUCGCGAUCGCUCUUUCUGACCAGACAGGAGGACCCAGACACACCCGUGGAAGUCAGGGCCAUCCUGUUGCCAGCUGCAAGGGCGCCGGCCAGCAGAGCGAGGGUGAGACG